GGAGUGAAAUUUUCUUGCGAGAGCUGCUACCUCCUUGACGUCACGGCCGCGAGACGAAGAGGAGCACGUGGAAGUGGAAAUUUCUGACGUGGCAACUUCUCAACAAGAUGUAGACGUCAUCCACAUGGAUGAGGAUGAGGAGCUUGGCGACUUCUCAUGAGCUUGACGACUCUUCCAGCGCUAAAGCUGGACUUGAGGUUCCGCUAUCGAUUGCCCCGCCAUCACCCUCAAGUCUUGUGGUCUCAGCGACAAUUGGAAAACUCCAGGACACUCUAGUGACCUGAGCUGCAGCACCAACUCAGCUGAUGCACGCGUUCUGUCUGCAUCGCGUCCCAGAGGACAAGACUUGAGUUGGUAAAGAAGCCAUGAUCCAGGCUGAGCAAAUGAUGUUGCAAGUGAAGGAGGCCUACGAAGCCACCAAGUUGACUUAUGAUGCCAGCUCAACGCUUUGUGCCAAUGUCUGAAAAGCUUGCGAGCUCGGAACUAAGUAUGUUGACCUGGAGAAGGAGAAAAAUGUGACAAAGAACGACCUGGCCCGCGUGCAGACCGAGCUGAAGACCCUCAGAGAUACCGUGAUGAAGGCGCUUGAAUAUAAAGACGAGUAACUUGCUAAAGCGCAGAAGGUGGCGAGGAAGAAAACCGAGGCUGCUGAGAAGAAGCUUGCCGCAGCCAGUAAUUUGGUAGAAGAAAACACCAAAGGUCGAUUGGAUGAGAAGGGCUGAACAGCUGACCAAGAGAAGGAGUGGUCUGGAAAACUACUUAGGGGACUUUGCGAAGAAGAUGUUCAGGAUGCUUCAAGAAUUCUGCCGAGACUUUGACAAGGAAAGUGAAGAGAUCGAGCCAAAUCUGGACGCCACCAAGUUAUCUAUCGGAGACGUUGUGGCCAUGAACAUGUUCCACCUUGACGCUCGUCUUAGAAGUGUUCAAGGGUAUUGUGAUAGUGUCGCUUCUUAGGGAUGAUAGACUACUCAUAUCAACAAGGAAUUCCUUGU